UGGUAUCUGAUACCUAAAUAUCUGAAUUCCUUACAAUUUGUUCUCCAGAUAUCAAUGAUCAGAAGUUUAAUGCUUGCAUUGCUUUUUGUUGGCAUUGCAAGUUUGGCUCUUGUGUUACAUAC